CUUAUCCAGAGCGACUUACAAAUUGGUGCAAAUUGGUGCAGGGAGGGGAGCACGUCAACAGCUGGGAUGCUACUAACAUCGCCAACCUCCUCCGUCAGAGGCUCCAGCAGCUAUCUCCAUGGUUACAUGGCAAGGCCGCCAACUUCAAGGAUGAAUUGUGAGUUCAAGAGGGUCUAUUCGAGAAAUCCAAGAUUCACUGAGAUGCUUUUCCUUAAGGGAAAUGUAAACAAAGAACAGUCAAACCCACACACACUCAACAAACAUACUCUGAGAAGAGAGGUUUACUGUCGGUCUGUCAAAACAAUAUGUUUUUCAUUUCUCUAAACUGAUUCAUUGAUUAGUAAAGACUGACUCACUGCUGACCUGCCUGAUAUCUGAAUGUACUGUCUGAUGUAGGUUCGGGACAAUGUAUUUUAUUUGAUGAUACAAAAUGGCAGUUUCAGUUUAUUCAGCUUGAUUCAACUUUAACCGUUUGAGUGUAGAGAACAGUGUUUUAUUCAUUCUGUGAAGUGACCACACUGUAGUGAAUGUGGUGUUGGUAUGUUUGUCUGCUGAAUGUAACCUAAUUGUUCAGUAUGCAACCUCUGUAAACGGAGAAAAAGGAACCCUGUACACUUAAAAACAAUUAACAUGAAAUAUGUUGCCAAUACCCUCCACAUCAUUCACUCCACAUCAUUAAUUUAUCUGUUACGGUUUGCCGUCCUUGAAGUGUGGAUGGGAAUCAUUUGGUUAGUUGUGGGAUGAUGCAGUCUUGCAAAAGUUUAUUUUCAACUAAAAAAUAAAAUACUAUUCUAAUGA